rnacentral:rRNA from 1 species
AUGAACAAGUUGAAUGAGGGAUAUGCUUCCUUGGACUGGACCAAGUCAAGAGGUCAUGUGCCAAGGGGUUGCAACAUAUUUGAAGAUGUAAUUUUUCGGAAACCCGAUGCUAAUAUUGUUGGUCACAAGCUCACUAGCAAGUGCCCAUGCAUUGUCGGGGGCUGCUGCUUAUCAUCGUCUAUUGAAUGCAUCGUCGAGAGAAUUCAAAGAGUUCCCGCGAUAUACGUUAACAGAGAUGUAAUGUGCAAGGCACAAAAGGGAAACGUGAAGGUGAGGCCAUACCAGAAUGCCAGGCCUGUGGAUGUGUCGCAAAGAGCCUGGUCCUUGUCAUGGUGCUGA